AGUGGGCGCCCCCAAGUGGAUCCAUGGUCACAGCUCUGCAGGCGCUCUGGCGUGUUUGAAGCAUAGAGUGUAACAGCCACGCUGCUGGGCGGGCCACGUCCUCCUCCGUGGCCACAGCUGUGCGGUGCUGCCCAUGUCCCGCAGUGGACGCACCCAGCUGAUCUGAGCGUUAAACCUUCUGAACAAUAGACUCCACGUGUAGGCGCGCGGAGACACCAAGUGCACAUGUAACUCUGAGGGUGAUGUGUCAUCCCGUGGACCAUUGGGACCUGGGCCUGUGCUCCAUGCAUGUAGGGCAUUCAGGACGUGACUUCGGCAAAUAUAUUGACAGAAUCCUGAAUGCAUCAAUGAAUAGACGUCGGUGAGAAUAAAGACAAAAUGUUGGCCAGAUGGUGAUGAAUGUCGGCGGAGGACGCUGAUGGUGAAUGCCUGAACUCUGCGGUCCGGCACAGCGGGAAACAGAGCCUGUAGCUUGGCCUUGUAGUGAUCUCUGCAGGUCCUAGGAAUACCAAAGGGGCGUUGUCUUAAGCGGUUUUUUUUUUUUAAUAAGAUUUUAAAAAUUUGUUUAUUUGAGACAUGGAGUUAGAGAGAGAGGGAGAGGCGGAGAGAAAGGUCUUCCAUCUGCUGGUUCACUCCCCAAAUAGCUGUAAUGGCUGCUCUGAAGCCAGGAGCCAGGAGCUUCCCCUGUGUCUCCCACGUGGGUGCAGGGGCCCAAGCGCUUGGGACAUCUUCCUCUGCUUUCCCAGGCCACAGCAGAGAGCUGGAUCGGAAGUGGAGCAGCCGGGACUCAAACUGGCACCCAUGUGGGAGACUGGUGCCACAGGCGGAGGCUCAGCCUGCUAUGCCACGGUGCCAGCCCCCAUCAAUGGUUGUUAUGGAGUUGGACUAUAUUAUUAUAAAUCCAUCAGUGUAAUAAUCAUUGUAGAAGUGCAACUAAGAUAAACAAUGUGGAAAAUGUCCACCCUUAGUAUAUGCUGUGAGAUGGUAGAGCCGUCAAACGUGUUGAAACGCUGAGUCCCACUGAAGUGAUGUGGACGUCUCCCUUGCUGACCGUGGUUGUGGGCGGUGUGAAUGUUCAAGCCUCGAGGUCUAGAUCGGUCGUGGUUUUCAGAUUCCUCAGCUCUUAGGAGAAAACGUGUUACCCUGUGUCAAUAUUUACUCAGUCGACGGGCCCACGGGUGACGGCUUGUCUGGAACAGUGGGGAUGGCCUCUCCAGCCCGUUCUGCCCUCUGGCCUGGUUCACGUGUCUGCCCGUGAGCUCCCUGGCUUUCUCUAGGAGAUGGGGCACCAAGUCCUCCAGGAGGAGCUUCCAGAGUGCCUGCCUUGGCAGGGCCUUUCUGUAGAGGGUUUGCUGAGAUAUUUGGAGAACUGUUUGGUGUAAUUUAGGAUAGGGUGACUGUAGCCCGUUGAUUUAGAUAGAGAUUUUACAAAACGCGUUGUUUAAGUCAUGUUUGCAACAAUGGAUCUAAUUAAUGAAAGAGGUAUUCUCAAUUAGCCAAAUAAUUGUAAAGACAGAUGGUAGGGAUGGGGAAGGGCUCUGUCUUUGAAUUUUUGUGAUUCAUUGGCAUUUAUUUAAAUAUCACUGGAGAAUCCAUGACUCCGUGGAGAACAGCCAUGGACGAGAAGAAGGGAGGCUCCCCUCCGGCUGCAGCUUGCGGGUCUGGGAUGGGUCACGUUCGGUGGCCCGAGACAAAACAGAAUCCUGUCUGUUUUCUUCCUUAGGAAUGGUCUGUAGGUUGUUGUUAGCAAUAUUCCAGGAUCUUGUUGAAGUUUUGUUCAUGGAUCUCAUUUUAUGAAAGUGCAAAGAUCAUUUGUAGGCCAGUAAACAGGAUUAGAAAGAAGAAAAUGGAUAGUCUGUCCAGCGGUGAUAUGCGUGGUAGAGCACGAGGCAGAGUUAAUACAGAUGGACUGUGGAGAGUUAGGAAGUAGAGAGACUGACUGUGCGCCCCAGAGGUAGAGAGACUGACUGUGCGCCCCAGAGGUAGAUAGACUGACUGUGUGCCCCCAGAGGUAGAGAGACUGACUGUGCCCCCCCCAGAGGUAGAGAGACUGACUGUGCGCCCCAGAGGUAGAUAGACUGACUGUGUGCCCCCAGAGGUAGAGAGACUGACUGUGCCCCCAGAGAUACAGAGACUGACUGUGCCCCCAGAGAUAGACUGACUGUGUGCCCCCAGAGGUAGAGAGACUGGCUGUGUGCCCCCAGAGGUAGAUAGACUGGCUGUGCCCCCAGAGAUACAGAGACUGACUGUGCCCCCAGAGAUAGACUGACUGUGUGCCCCCAGAGGUAGAGAGACUGGCUGUGUGCCCCCAGAGGUAGAUAGACUGACUGUGCCCCCAGAGAUACAGAGACUGACUGUGCCCCCAGAGAUAGACUGACUAUGUACCUCCAUAGGUAGAUAGACUGACUGUGUGCCCCCAGAGGUAGAGAGACUGACUGUGUACCUCCAGAGGUAGAUAGACUGACUGUGUGCCCCCAGAGGUAGAUAGACUGACUGUGCGCCCCAGAGGUAGAGAGACUGACUGUGUACCUCCAGAGGUAGAUAGACUGACUGUGUGCCCCCAGAGGUAGAUAGACUGGCUGUGUGCCCCCAGAGGUAGAGAGACUGACUGUGUACCUCCAGAGGUAGAUAGACUGACUGUGUGCCCCCAGAGGUAGAUAGACUGGCUGUGUGCCCCCAGAGGUAGAUAGACUGGCUGUGCCCCCAGAGAUACAGAGACUGACUGUGUGCCCCCAGAGAUAGACUGACUGUGUGCCCCCAGAGGUAGAGAGACUGGCUGUGUGCCCCCAGAGGUAGAUAGACUGACUGUGCCCCCAGAGAUACAGAGACUGACUGUGCCCCCAGAGAUAGACUGACUGUGUACCUCCAUAGGUAGAUAGACUGACUGUGUGCCCCCAGAGGUAGAUAGACUGACUGUGUGCCCCCAGAGGUAGAGAGACUGACUGUGUACCUCCAGAGGUAGACAGACUGACUGUGUGCCCCCCUCUAAGAGGUAGAUAGACUGACUGUGUGCCCCCAGAGGUAGAGAGACUGACUGUGUACCUCCAGAGGUAGACAGACUGACUGUGUGCCCCCCUCUAAGAGGUAGAUAGACUGACUGUGUGCCCCCAGAGGUAAAUAGACUGACUGUGCCCCCCAGAGGUAGAUAGACUGUGUGCCCCCCAGAGGUAGAUAGACUGACUGUGUGCCCCCCCUCUAAGAGGUAAAUAGAUUGACUGUGUGCCCCCCAAGAAGAGGUCUAUAGACUGACUGUGCCCUCCCAAGAUGUAGAUAGACUGACUGUGUGCCCCCCUCUAAGAGGUAGAUAGACUGACUGUGCGCCCCCAGAGGUAAAUAGGCUGACUGUGUGCCCCCCCUCUAAGAGGUAGAUAGACUGACUGUGUGCCCCCCAGAGGUAGAUAGACUGACUGUGUGUCCCCCCUCUAAGAGGUAGAUAGACUGACUGUGCCCCCCCAGAGGUAGAUAGACUGACUGUGUGCCCCCAGAGAUAAAUAGGCUGAUGUGUGCCCCCAGAGGUAGAAUGACUGGCUGUGUGCCCCCCCCCCUCCAAGAGGUAGAUAGACUGACUGUGCCCUCCCAAGACGUAGAUAGACUGACUGUGUGCCCCCCUCUAAGAGGUAGAUAGACUGACUGUGUGCCCCCAGAGGUAGAUAGACUGGCUGUGUGCCCCCAGAGGCAAAUAGACUGUGCCCCCCCAGCGGUAGAUAUACUGACUGUGUGCCCCCCCAAGAGGUAGAUAGACUGUGUGCCCCCAGAGGUAGAUAGACUGGCUGUGUGCCCCCAGAGGCAAAUAGACUGUGCCCCCCCAGCGGUAGAUAUACUGACUGUGUGCCCCCAGAGGUAGAUAGACUGACUGUGUGCCCCCCUCUAAGAAGUAGAUAGACUGAUUGUGUUCCCCCAGAGGUAGAUAGACUGACUGUGUGCCCCCAGAGGUAGAUAGACUGACUGUGUGCCCCCCUCUAAGAGGUAGA